GACGAACGCUGGCGGCAUGCCUAACACAUGCCAGUCGAACGAGACCUUCGGGUCUAGUGGCGCACGGGUGCGUAACGCGUGGGAACCUGCCUUUAGGUUCGGAAUAACUCAGAGAAAUUUGAGCUAAUACCGGAUGAUGUCUUCGGACCAAAGAUUUAUCGCCUUUAGAUGGGCCCGCGUUGGAUUAGCUAGUUGGUGGGGUAAAGGCCUACCAAGGCGACGAUCCAUAGCUGGUCUGAGAGGAUGAUCAGCCACACUGGGACUGAGACACGGCCCAGACUCCUACGGGAGGCAGCAGUGGGGAAUAUUGGACAAUGGGCGAAAGCCUGAUCCAGCAAUGCCGCGUGAGUGAUGAAGGCCUUAGGGUUGUAAAGCUCUUUUACCCGAGAUGAUAAUGACAGUAUCGGGAGAAUAAGCUCCGGCUAACUCCGUG
rnacentral:rRNA from 1 species